rnacentral:tRNA from 1 species
CAAGCCCUAGCUCAGGCGGCCAGAGCGCUCCCUACUGGGGAGAGGUCCUCGGUUCAAAUCCGGGGGGCUUGU